ensembl:lncRNA
GAAAUAAGUGCAUUGUGUAACAGUAAAUCUACACCAAGCUCUGAAGUAGAAAAUAAAAUUAUUUAGAUUUCUGUUUUAGAAGAAAUGCUUCUUUGGGCAUGCACCAGAACCCACCGGAGAAUCUAGUUGUGCCUCUGCUUGGUAAGGAGAGUUUGGGGUUAAUACAGCUGCAUUCCCCAUGGUAUGGGAGGAUGCCAAGCUCCUUGCAAUGUCAGCCAACAAACCAUGGACUGAAUCCUCAGGGAACUGUAGACCUACAUAAACUUCUCCUUUAGAGAAAAAAAGAAGAAGAAAGAAAGAUGAUUCCUUGUGGGAGGAAGGACACAAAGUAAAAGAUAUCCCAGCACAGAUCAACAACCUCAUAUAGAGAAGGAGCAUCGCAGAACCCACAGAUCAGCAAAGAGACCAUGGCUCUAGCCUCACUGCAAAUGCUGGUUACCUGCUCCUCAGUGUACAGGAAUAAUCAGCAGCCCAGAGAGAGUACGAAUGCGAUCCAGAUGGUGCAGCUCACAUCCACCAUGGGGACUCAAACCCAGAGAGAAGACAAUGGACCUGAGUAUGGAUUGUUCGCCUUUAGAACGGGUCAUCAUGAAGUCCACUGCCCACUGUUUCUUGUCGGUGGCUCGGUUUCUUUCUGCUUCUCUGUUACUUCAUUCCCUGUGGCAGAGAACCAAGUGCAUGCUUUCAACAUCCAACUAUUUUCUGGACACCCCAGGAGAUGUGAAAUGUGUGUCACAGCCACCAAAACAUUAUGUAUCCACCAUGGAAUCUGCUUUAUUUGAACAUCUGAUUUUUGUUUUUCAGAGUGUUAAAAUUAUGCCUACUUUCUCCUCAGACUAAGACAGAAUGAGUGGUUCUUCUGAAUCUCUUAUUCUAACAUGGAAUCUCCCCAACUUCACUUCCCUGGACAAAGUGCACUUCUAGAUUUAAACAUGAUGCUGCCCCUUUGCCUAAGUGACCUGAGUGGAGCCUACAUAUCAUUAGGCAGCCCUGGAUGCAUCCUCGGAAAGUUUUUCCCUGAUAGAAAGAGCCCAUGCUGACUGUUUACUCUGCACCAUACCUCUCUCAGGAACGAUGCCUUACUCAGAAUUUUCUGAUAAGCUAAUGUGGGUAGCAACAAUAAUAAGCCCUUGGGGGAUUUAUAUCACCUGAUUUAUAUCUUGAAAUUCUCUGACACCAUCCACUCAUAAGAAUAACAAGUCAAUUCUGGCUCCAUGUUCUUCCAUCCCCAUUGGAAUAGUCUAAUUUCCAGGUGCGUUUGUCAAACAUUAGUUUUGCUGAAAGGCACAUACCAUACUGAUUCAAGACUUGGCUGUUGGUUUAAGUGCUCACUGGAUGAUUAGAGUCAAUAUGACAUAAUGGUAAAUGUUAAGAUUUAUGGAAGGUGUGUAAAAGUCCAGUGCAUGGCCUUCUACAGGAUCUUCAUGAUUUUUCUCCUCCAGCCUAUCCUUUACAUGAUGCCUUCCCACCUCGGCUUCCCCUAUUAACUUUCUAUUUCAAUUUUUAUUCUAAAAUUGCCACAUAUUAACUGGACAUGAAAUGCAUUUGUGACUCUCAUGGCUGUCUGUCAGUGAACCCUGGAUGUGGGUCUGCUCUGAUCGGUCUCUGUAGAGUUGGGGUCUGACCCGAUCACAGCAAAUGUGCUUUCCAGGAGUGAAAGAUGGUUGCUUGGUGACUGACGAUCAGUUUGCACCAUGAAGCUUUUCCUAAGGAUUCCAAGAACGUCUGCCAGGCAAAAAAUGUCUGCCUUAUUCUCCACAAACCACGAAUAAUGACCAGUUCAUUUGUCUUCAGAGGUCUAGCAGGUGUUUUUCAUUGUAAACCCUUGUAGUUCCCAAGAAGACAUUAAAUAUUUCCCGCAUAUAUGUAUAUAUAUAUAUAUAUGUAGAUGCUUUCAUAUAAUCAGACUACCAGUUCCCAAGUUAAUAUUCCAUGGAUCCUAAUAGUUUGCCACAUAGGUAUCCCGCUGAAAUAAUUCUGAGAAACUAUAUUAAGACAAGGGUAAAAGAUUUUUAAUAUGCCAUAUACAUGCUAUGUUUUUAAAGAGGGUACAUUAUUAAAUACUCAGCCAGGAAUUAGCAGGAUGCUUCCUAGAAGUCUUGACAUGAUGAAUGUAGCAGUAAGUAGGCAAUUUCAUUAUUAAUUUUCAAAAUGCAAUUUUAUUUAUUUGCUUCAUUACCACUUACAAUUCAGAGAGCUUUACAAUGCUACCUUGUCUUGUUUGUUGAUAGAGCAGAGUUUUAUUAGUUCAAACUGUUAAAGAUCUCCUUGUUCUUUCCCAUCAUGACACGCUCGAUGGGAAAUCUUGGUAGGUGGAACUCAGCAAUUUAUUUUCCUCUCUGUGUCUGCUGAGGAUUUCUUAAACUUCCAUAGCAUCCGCCUUGAAUCUCAUCCCUGUGUUUAUUUGUUAGCUUGCAGGACACUUCACCUUUUGAUCUCUGAGUCAUAUUCCAGAGACUUUCAGAGGCUCUGCUGGACUCCAGUUUCUCUUGCCAGGCUUUUAUAAGUGUGUUGCAGCUCUCCUGUCCUGUCCUUUGUCUCCAUGGCCUGAUCUGGGAUGCACCAACUUUCACCUUGCACUCAUUUCUUGCAGCCCAGACAAUAAAUUGGGGAGGAAGGGAGGUUUGGGGGGAGACAUCCUGAUUACCCUGUGCACCCCUCAAUAAAGCCUGCCUGUGCCAAGGUCAGAGGCACUGUGGACCAAGCUCUUGAAAGAGGCUUCUGUCUCACACACGCCAUCACCCACAUCAGCUUCCUCCUCCACCUCCUAAUCUUCCAGAUCUUCCGGAACAAGUUGUGGAAGGCAGCAUCUUUGCCUGGCUAAUAGGUCGCCUUUUGACGUGAGAAGUUAGCGGGGGCUUCCCAGGCUUCGCAGAGCUUUUGAGGUUCCCAUUAUAGCUGCGCUGCCUCUUGUCUUUCAUGAUCAUUUCUUCUUCUCCUGUGUUGUGUUUCCUACUCUCGAAUUGCCCAUUUGUGCUAUUAAUUUUCAGUAGACAUUCUUCAGGGAGACUAUGAUGACAUGCUAAGACCCAGGAAGUCUGAACACAUGCAGAAAACUACCCUAGUAACCUCGUUUGUGUUGUGCUUGUUUAUGAGAUGAGGCAAUCACUAAUCAUGCAGGGGCUGAGCUUGAAGAUAAGAUUGUAAGGCUUGGGAAAGAACUAGUCUUCUGGCUGACUGCAAGAGACUUAAUGCAGAUCAAAUGUUUGGAGUAACAAGCUGGGGUGGCACAUUCUUGAUAAAGAAGCUGGAAGUUGGAGCUGUGUCAAGAAACUGGUGAAAAGAAGAAAAGGAAUAGUAUUCCCGAAGCUGUACAAAAGACCAGUGGGCCUGGACCUGUAGAGAAAACAUCCAGAAAUGAAACCACACACAGCAUCCACUUCUUGCUCCAAAAUAUCCUUAAGGAGCCUCCCUGUAUUAGCUUUCCCAUCACUGAAACACAAUGCCGACACCCACAGCUCCAAGAAGGAAGGUUUAAUUUAAGUCAUGGUUUCAGGUGGGCUGACUCCCAAGGCAGAGCCCACAUGGCGGAAGCCAGGGUGGGGCACAACUCCUUAGUUCUUGAUGGUGGGGAGGCAGGGCGGGGCAACAGCCAGAGAGGAAGGGUACCAUGCUUUGGAAAAUCAGCGCAUUAGGUGAGUCACAGUCUUUUUUUAGAUAGAGAAAAUAUAGCAAAUAUUUAUAUACCAUUCACCUUGAAAUUUAAUUUAAAUCCUUGCCUUAUAAUUGUAAAAUUUCUGUGUGAGCCUGUUUGCAAAAAUAUCCAAACAUUUGUUUGAGCGCUUGCAAGGACUGUUGAGCUGUGUGACUACAGUGCUUGUUACAGAAAAUUGCAUUUGUCAGAAGGAAUGUGAAACUCUUCCCUUAGAAUGAUAACCCUGCUCAUAAGAUGCUGAUUUCACCAAUCCAAUUAAAAUUAACCCAUUCUCUAUGCUUUGACUGGCUUUCAUGGAUGAACUUAACUAGCAUGGAAGAGUAAAAGACUCAGAAUUACAAACAUAUCUAAACGGCUUUCCUCUUUGAAAAAAUUUUCCUUAUGUGUAAAAUUAAAAUGGGUACACCAGAUGAACUUGAAAAUACUAGGCAGAAACUCUCUUCCUCAACAUACGAAAAUACCUGUUUGUCUACUCCAUUGUGAGGGCACCUUGCCCUAUUCAUUGAAAAUCCAGAUUCCAAAUAGUCCACAGUCC